rnacentral:lncRNA from 1 species
AUAUAUGGGGGAUAACUUCAAUUCCUCUGCAUUUACUGAACACAUUCUAUGAACAAGUCUAUUUUGGAGAAUGACCCAUGUACAGCUGAAAAGAAUGUAUGUUCCGUAAACAUCUGCUAAAUUAAUUUGUACAGGAGUUUUGCUAAGUUCUGGCAUUUCAUUGUUGCUGGUGUUGUUUUUCAGAUUUGCAGGUGGAAAUUUAUUUGGAAAACCAACAAUUGUAAUAUAAACAGAAAAUCUCCUCUCCUUUGUAAUAAAGGAUCAGAAUAAUAUAAAGAAACUUCAACAAAAUAGGACAUCUCUAAUUUGCAAAUAUUCAUAAGAAUGUGGGAAGCAUAGUAGAGAAAAAUCAAGGGUAAGCAUUAUCAUUUACCCAAAGCUUAAUUCUUAACAACACUUAUACAUUUUUACACAUAACACAUGUAAUGUAGAACUUAAGAAGCAUCAAUAUUUAUAUUUUCAGAAAUAAUGAACAAUACAUUCAUCCUCAUAUUUCAGAGCUUGAAGUUAUAACUGUUGGAAUUUGUAGAUGGAAGUGGUAAAAUGUUUAGAAGGGAAAGUUGGCUGGUCCUGGCCAUAACCUUGCUGAAGAAUGGUUUUUGGAUAAUGAGAAGGAAAAAAAAUCAAAAGGCAAAUUGGAAGUGGUUGGAGCACUACCAAGCCUGCAAAUGAGAUCAAUUCCAGAGAUAGACAGAGUCAAGUAAUCCUCAGAAAAAUCCUGUCCUGGCCCCUAUGGCGAAGAAGCCCCAAAGGCAUUUGUGCUGUCUGCCUAAUCACCUAGGCAACCUUCCUUAGAAGCAAGAUGAGGGUAAGUUUUACUCAAAAUUCACUAUAAAAUUAUUUCUGUUUCUAUAUCUGAAACACACUUAAGAAACUCACAGUUCAAAACCUGUACUCAUCAUCCAUCAGCCACAAUUUAUUUACACAAUGGGAGAAGAACUUUCCUCAUCUAACACAUAAAUGAUGAGAAACAGGGCUAGGAGAGGAGAAAGAGCUAGGAGUUUGGAGAUUUUCAUUUAAACUGAAUGUGUUUUGAUCCCUUGAAUAUUGAAAUAGGAAGAAAAUGGCUAAAGGGGAAGUUGGAAGGGGAGGGGAAAGGAAAUAAGGAAAAAGAAAAAAAUGAAAAAAGUAAAAAAUGGUAACAAAGUAUUUGUAAACAUUGUGCUUUAGAAAAUAUCUCCUACUGGUCUCACCAAGAAAUUAGUUUCAAUUUCUCUUACUCAUGAGACUCCCUAGAAGACUAAGCAGGAAUAUAGCUUUUAUGUGUGUUCUACUUGAUGGACAAAAUUCGGAUAUCUCAUUUGACCAAGAGAUGGCAUAUGUGUUUCUCAUCUAAGGUGACUUCCUAGUCUUCAGC